GAACGCUGGCGGCGGGCCUAACACAUGCAAGUCGAGCGGUAACAUUUCUAGCUUGCUAGAAGAUGACGAGCGGCGGACGGGUGAGUAACGCGUAGAAAUCUACCUAGUAGUGGGGGAUAGCCCAGAGAAAUUUGGAUUAAUACCGCAUACGCCCUACGGGGGAAAGCGGGGGAUCUUCGGACCUCGUGCUAUUAGAUGAGUCUGCGUCGGAUUAGCUUGUUGGUGAGGUAAUGGCUCACCAAGGCGACGAUCCGUAGCUGGUCUGAGAGGAUGACCAGCCACACUGGAACUGAGACACGGUCCAGACUCCUACGGGAGGCAGCAGUGGGGAAUAUUGCACAAUGGGCGCAAGCCUGAUGCAGCCAUGCCGCGUGUGUGAAGAAGGCCUUAGGGUUGUAAAGCACUUUCAGCAGUGAGGAAAGGGGUGUCGUUAAUAGCGCCAUCCUGUGACGUUAACUGCAGAAGAAGGACCGGCUAACUCCGUG
rnacentral:rRNA from 1 species